AGUACGGCGGAACACGAGAAAUUCCGUCGGAAUCCGCGGGGACCAUCCCGCAAGGCUAAAUACUCCCUAGUGACCGAUAGUGAACCAGUACCGUGAGGGAAAGGUGAAAAGCACCCCGGAAGGGGAGUGAAAUAGAUCCUGAAACCGUGUGCCUACAACAAGUCAAAGCUCGUUAAUGAGUGAUGGCGUGCCUUUUGUAGAAUGAACCGGCGAGUUACGAUUGCAUGCGAGGUUAAGUCGAAGAGACGGAGCCGCAGCGAAAGCGAGUCUGAAUAGGGCGAAUGAGUAUGUAGUCGUAGACCCGAAACCAUGUGAUCUACCCAUGUCCAGGUUGAAGGUGCGGUAAAACGCACUGGAGGACCGAACCCACGUACGUUGAAAAGUGCGGGGAUGAGGUGUGGGUAGCGGAGAAAUUCCAAACGAACUUGGAGAUAGCUGGUUCUCUCCGAAAUAGCUUUAGGGCUAGCCUCGGAAUUGAGAAUGAUGGAGGUAGAGCACUGUUUGGACUAGGGGCCCAUCUCGGGUUACCGAAUUCAGAUAAACUCCGAAUGCCAUUCAUUUAUAUCCGGGAGUCAGACUGCGAGUGAUAAGAUCCGUAGUCGAAAGGGAAACAGCCCAGACCACCAGCUAAGGUCCCAAAAUAUAUGUUAAGUGGAAAAGGAUGUGGGGUUGCACAGACAACUAGGAUGUUGGCUUAGAAGCAGCCACCAUUUAAAGAGUGCGUAAUAGCUCACUAGUCGAGUGACCCUGCG
rnacentral:rRNA from 1 species